rnacentral:rRNA from 1 species
GCGAACUACGUGGAGGCGGCCGGGUGAAUACGGGGGGGGCGAGGGGUGUCCGGAUUUGUUGGGCGUAAAGUGCGUGUAGGCGGCCUGGAAGGGCAGCUGUGAAAACUCGAGGCUCAAACUGGAGACGUCGGUUGAAACCACCUGGCUAGAGUCCGGAAGAGGAGUGUGGAAUUCCCGGUGUAGCGGUGAAAUGCGCAGAUAUCGGGAAGAACACCCGUGGCGAAGGCGGCACUCUGGGACGGUACUGACGCUGAGACGCGAAAGCGUGGGGAGCGAACAGGAUUAGAUACCCGAGUAGUC